GCACAGUACAUUCUAUUUUUCGUUUCACAAACUGCAUAGCUUGCGUCGCUAAAGCUUGCAUAGCAUCAUCAGAAAAUGUUUGAGCAUCAGCCAACCAGGAAUAUGACAAGGCCAUGAAUGCCCCACGGGCGCUCAGGCAUCAACCUGAGCCAUGCUCUAAGCGACGGCGCGGAUUGGACAGGACAAGCUAAUUCUGGGAUAGUUUCACUUACACCCAACCACACAAUUCGAAAUCGACGACAAGUCCACAGCAAAGAGGGG
rnacentral:sRNA from 2 species